GACGAACGCUGGCGGCGUGCUUAACACAUGCAAGUCGAACGGAAAGGCCCUGCUUUUGUGGGGUGCUCGAGUGGCGAACGGGUGAGUAACACGUGAGUAACCUGCCCUUGACUUUGGGAUAACUUCAGGAAACUGGGGCUAAUACCGGAUAGGAGCUCCUGCUGCAUGGUGGGGGUUGGAAAGUUUCGGCGGUUGGGGAUGGACUCGCGGGUUAUCAGCUUGUUGGUGGGGUAGUGGAUUACCAAGGCUUUGACGGGUAGCCGGCCUGAGAGGGUGACCGGCCACAUUGGGACUGAGAUACGGCCCAGACUCCUACGGGAGGCAGCAGUGGGGAAUAUUGCACAAUGGGCGGAAGCCUGAUGCAGCAACGCCGCGUGCGGGAUGACGUCCUUCGGGUUGUAAACCGCUUUCGCCUGUGACGAAGCGUGAGUGACGGUAAUGGGUAAAGAAGCACCGGCUAACUACGUG
rnacentral:rRNA from 1 species